CGCCCAUCGCCACCAGUCCAGCUCGCCGAUUGGCCAACCAGGCUCCGGUGCGCUCGGCCAAUCAGAAGGGACGAUGGAGAGCGAACAGAAAGGGGAAGAAAGCGACGCUGGGAGGAAACGGCCCAGGGCUGGGGCAUUUCUUGAGCGCUCCGCUCGCUUUUCGAGGAGAGAGAGCUGCGCCUUGGCUCCACGCCGGAUAGGGCCAAACCUCCAAGGGCCAGGUCUGGAGCUGAGGACUGGCAGGGGCUACAAGCGUUCCGGAGGCGCUGAGCAAAGUGAGAGGGUGGUGAUGGAAAAGAAAAGCGGUCCGUUAGAUGAAUUGGAUUUAUCCUGAGUACCCGCAACAGAAGUAAUCUACUGUGAUGUCAGCUUCCCUGUGGAGAGGACUGUGUGGUAAGGAUCUGAGGGAAGCCUCUAAACAACAGUUAAACAAGAAAUAGGAUCACAGUCUGUCAUACUGAAGAGAACUGAAUGCUGCACAUGAACAUAAAAGUAGAUCCUUUCCAGUCGAACUCAGUCCUGGCUAACACCACUAUUUCAGUCUUACAGAGGAUCCAGCUCAGCAGUACCUGAACAUUUAACUCACAAAAAUGAGUUGAAGCCAUUAAGUUUACAGUAAUAUAAUUUACGGAUGGGAAAACUUUCAACGUAGAACUUGGUCAAAUCUUUUUUGAGAAAAUAAAUAUACAUCUUCCUUC